UCAAACUCAUCCCAGUGAUUGUAAAUUGGCCGGGGAGGAGGGGAAUGGGGGGAGGCAGAUGCUUAUCUCAUUCAUUUCUAGAUUUCAGCCAGCCUUUCGGAAAUAAACACCACCUAGAGACUGAGCCAGAGACAUUUGGUUAUCUGCAGCUUGACUGAAUGGGAAACACAAGAGAUGCUGAAGUAUCACCUGGCCUAAGCACAGACAAUGCAGCAUGUUUAUCUCUGCUGCUCCCAUGGAGUGUGAGAUGGAGACCACAAACUAAAACACAGCUGAAAUCAAAAGCUCUCUGUUUUCCUUCCAGAUAACUCCAGUACUACCUCUCUCCCCUCUGUUCUCUGUGCCUUGCCAGCAUGCUCCUGCCCGAAGCCCAAAUAGAUUAAGGCAACAAAUCCCAAGUGCAGCCAGUUCUUCAGAAAGGCUGCUGCUAGGGCAGGAGUUAAAAAGGAGAAUCUUCCACACCUCACAAUUGCAGCCAUCUCGAGUUUUAAUCGGCCCCCAUCUCGGCAAAAAGCAGUAAAUGAAAUCUAUCUUUACCAUAUUAUACACCACCAAUGAGCAAGAACUGAGCAGCUUUUCUUCACGGCUCCAACCACCCCAAGCCACAAGUAGGCCUUUCAUAGUUCCUAAUCCCGGCCCCCAAGUUUUGUGCGGUUCUCACAUAAUACCUUACAGCCCGGAGCAAGGCCCUUAGUUUAUAACACCCCUUUCAGAGACGUGUCAUUUCUAACAUCAAGCUAAUCUAUAUGUUGCCAUGGCAUCACCCUUUAUCUGCCUUUACAUCUUAUGAACUGCAUGGAUUUACCACAUUAUUUUUAUCUGAAAGACAGAAAAUGGUGGUUUUAUUGCCAUACAAUCAGAUUACUGCUGCUAGUUUCUCUAUGCCUUUUUACCAUACUUCAAUCAAAAGGGAUCAGUUUCUUUAUACUCUGCCCUUGAUUUACAUUACAUCUGUAAAGACCUAGUCUGGGUUGUAAUCCCCUUAUUAACUAUGACCAGGGUUGAUUUGCCUAAAAAUAAAAGCAAAUUGUGUCAGA